UUAUCUCUUCAGGUCACUAGCCAACCUAAUAUAACAUAGCAAAAAAAGAACCAACCCAACAUAACCCAUCAAAAUGCAGGCAGUUUUGUAUCUUGCAUCACCCUUUCCUCCGUAACAACCACCAAAUUUGUGGCCGGUGGUGAAACCUAGUGUGAAGAUUGUGAACCAGUUCCUAUUUGGGAGAGGCAUGUGGAACCAAGCGUGAGCCAAAAAAUUCACAAAGUUGGUUUUUGCAUUCAAAAUCUUACUUUCUUUUGUCUAUGUUAGUAUGGGAGUCUCUCGAGUUUCAACUCCGGACUCCCCAUUAGCCAAAUAGUGAAUGAAUGAGGGAGAGAGAGAGAGAGAGAGAGCCGGUUCACAAUCUUCACACUUGGUUCCACCACCUAUGCUUGCCAUGUACAUGCAGGUCCAUGCCAAGACCACAGAGUCCCUGAUGUACCCCAAUCAGAACUACUGGGGACCCUUCAGCCAUUGAUUACUGCUUCAUAACUUCUGUUUUUCCAGCAGAGGCUUUUGAGUUGUGAGACAGUUGGGGGAGAAGCUUGUGAUGCCGAAAUGUAUCCUGAAGUGAAGAUCAAACCAGAGGUGAAAUACAAAACAGCCAACACUUCUUCAGAGGCUGUUGAACGAGAGUAUUUUGAGCACAAUGAGCCUAAGAAGUGAGAUCUUAUGAUCAGAUCUGCAAUUUAAGAAUUUUAAUUUGCAAUGACAUAUCAGCAGAGGCUUGUGAUGAUCUUAUCUGUGAACCUGAGUGAUGAAAACUUCGAUUUCCAACCACACAUAAACAAAGGGAAGGUUGUGAUGUGGAUAGAUCGAUAAGGGUCAUCUACUCAUCUUCUAUUUUUCUUUCUUGGUUUUGUUGUUGACGUUUAUCUUGUGAAUAACUAUAACUUGCAGUGUAUUAAAUUUUUUGAAAUAAUGAUGAUGCACUUGACUUAGAAGCUAAUUAUGAAA